rnacentral:pre_miRNA from 1 species
AAUGCAAGUGCUGGGUCAUAUGGUAAGUCCAUUUUUAGUUCUAAAAAGAACUGCCAAACUAUUUUUCCAGAGUGGCUAUAUCAUUUUACAUUCCCACCAGCAAU